AUUUAGUCUCACAAUCACAGACAAUAAAUAUUAUCUGAAAGUCGGGUUAUUGUUGUUUAUCAGCACAAUACAAAAAGAUUCAUGUUAGACGUAUUCCAGUUAAUACUCUAGAAUAUCAUGAUUUAUGUAAAUUUACCUCAAUAAUAUGAAUGUUCAGGUUAAGAUUGUACAGUGAUAUUUCUUAUGUAAUUUUAGCUGAUUAAAGUUUAUGAUUCUGCACUACAAUAUUAUUUAAAUUUACAUCAUUAUUAUAAUAUUUAGGGUCAGACCCUACAGUAUUGAGAUUAAGAUAGAUAGAUAAAUAGAUAGAUAGAUUAGACAUCAAAUAUUCUAUAAAAUGUAAAUACACUGAACUCAUUUGGAUAUAUUUAAGUGAGACUCUACAAUAUUAUUUGACACAAAUCUAUCUAAAUCAAAAUUUUUAAUCAUUUUUACUCCAAACAUUUACUGGACUGAUUUAAAUAUUAAAAUCACUCCUUUCUAAUCCUCUGCUGUACGUUCAAACUUGAGGCCUUAAAUAGAAACACACAAGUAUCUGAUUGAAGGAACUUCUGCAGAGUCCUGGUUCCAGAACAUGAUAAUAGAAUUAUAGACAAACUUUAACAAAAGCUGCCUGAGAGUUUACAGGUUUUUAUGUUAGAUUUCUUCAGUAAUUUAAUGAGUUAUCAGCAAAAAUCAAGUGUUCAUUUGAUGACCUUCAUUUCCUAAAACAUCCAGAAUUGGAGCUCAUAUCUUUGGCAGCCGUAAAGUUUCUGCUCCUUCAAAGUUCACAACACAAUGAAUUAAUUCCUAAAACACUCUCAAUGCUGGAGAGCAUUUGUGAUGCUGAAGCAGUGACCAGUUUUUCUGUUUCUUCUCUGGAGAUGCACGAGGGACGUCUGCAGAGACUGAGAAAGAGUCUCACCACAUCCUGACAUGAGGAAAAAGACUUUAUUGAAGACUACAAUGAGAAAAACGAUCAGACAGCAGACAGCAUGCAUUCAAGAAAGGAAGACCAUCAAACAUCCACAUCAGCUGAUGGAGGUCCAAGAGUCUCACCGAACAAACAACCUACAGAGUGAAGACCUCGAAUCUGAUUGGACGGCCUCCUGUUCAGCCACAUGUGUGAACAAAUGCCUCUAAGUUGAUUUGUUUUCUAAAAUAAAUCUAGUUUGAGUCCUAAUCUAUGCC
ensembl:lncRNA